rnacentral:tRNA from 1 species
GGAAGGAUGGUCCUGUAGUUAGGACACUAGCCUGAAGUCUGGAUGUUAGAGUUCAAUUCCUUGUCCUGCCC